UUUUUUUUUUUUUUUUUUGGUUUUUUUGCUAUUUUUUUGGGCCGCUCCCGCGGCAUAUGGAGGUUCCCAGGCUAGGGGUCAAAUCGGAGCUGUAGCCAGCUCGGGAUCCGCGCCGCAUCUGCGACCUACACCACAGCUCACAGCAACGCCGGAUCGUCAACCCACUGAGCAAGGGCAGGGACCGAACCCGCAACCUCAUGGUUCCUAGUCGGAUUCAUUAACCACUGCGCCACGACAGGAACUCCCUCUUUCAUUUUUAAAACAAAUCAGCAAACACCACACUUCAUGGACUCCCAGCUCCUCCCUGCACGUCCCUUCCUUUGCAUCCAGACUUCUUGGAAAAGGAGUUGAGUUCCUUGUGUCCGGCGCCUCUUCUCUGUUCCCGAGGUGGCUGUCUGUCCUCACUACCUACUGAUUGCACUGUGUUCUUUGCCAGUCUCUGUCUCUCUUGACCCUCUUUGGCACUUGGCAUUAUUGAGAUAGUUACUCUUUAAAAACUUGGUUCCUUUGACUUCUGUAACACAGUUUUCUAAUUUUCUUCUUGCUCUCUUCAUCAUCUCCUUUGUCAUCUCCUUUUUCUUAAAUACUAAUGUUUCUGAGAUUCUGAUUUGGUUUCAGUUUUGUCUCACUCUGAACUUUCCUUGUUCACUCUCCUUGUUUUGAGGCCUUUUCUUUCUCCUCGUUCUCUCUUUGCACACAUUGGUACACACCCAAGUCUGUGUUUAAAUCAGACUUAAAAUCAGCUUUAGAUCACAUACUAAUUAGUUCUUGCCUCUCUGGAUUUGAAUGUUAGUCAGAUGUCUCAAACUCAGCAUAUCCCAAAGUGGUUUUUUACUACCCAAGCCUUCUCUUAGUCCUAUAUUAAAAAAAAAAUUUAUAGUGGCAUUGUGAUUACUCAUACCAGAAAUGCUGUGCACAUCUAAUGUAUUUCUACAUCCCAGAGAUAACUCUUGAAUCUACCUUGUUUAAUGCAGUUCUGUUUCUAAAUUCAUUUAUUUGUUUUAAUUCACUCAGUUAUACAAGAAAGAUUUGACUUUCUGCUAUAUGUAAUGCAUGGUGAAUAAGUGUUGGAACUACGGUUUUGAGUUAAACACAAUGUUUAUUUUCAUAAAGCAGUUCUCAUGGAAGCGGUAGACACUAGUCAGAUGAUCAGAGGAGAUGUAGGUAUGUAAGAGGCAUGUGAAGCUGUGGUGAGAACGCAGAGCAGGGGACUUGAUGGAACAGGGGAAGGCUGCCGAAGCUGGACUAAGGUUUUCCAAGAAUGAGUAGAUGUUAUCUAGGGGAAGAAGAAAGGAAAAUGCAAUAGCAGCAGCAUGUACACGGAUCCUGUGGCCAAAGGAACGUAAACAUUUACCUGCUGUUCAACAUGUUCAGUCACCUCUCCUGUUAUUUACAAGGCUGAAAGGCAGUGUGACAGUAGUGCAAUCAGCCAGGCCGACUGUGGUUUUGGUUUGGUAAGUCUAGUAAGAAGUUUUGUUCUUAUCCUGAUCCACUGAGGGGAUCUGAGGGGGAAGACCAGUAGAGGUGCCGUGGUAACGGAGUGUCAUCACUCUUGGCAGUGAUAUGAAGUAGUAUUAGAGGGGAGAGAGUUGAAAUAGGCUGUCUCGGCCAUCCAUGCAGGAGGUAACAGCUUGGACUGGGGACUGGUGUUGGUGGUGGGGAAAAGUGAAGGAGGGUGCGGCAGGUGAGCCCUGGGGAUAUGUUAGGUAUGUGCACUGGAAGGGAGUGGAGCACCUCCAUGCUCUGAGGUUUCUAGCUAACGGAACUGAAGGGGUGACUGAGGAAAAACGCCCCCUGGCUGAGGACCAGGGGCGUGGGGAGUGAUCUCAUUAAAUAAGCUAGUUUGUAAUGCAGAGGUGACUUGCAGGGAGGGUUCUGGGCUUGGGGUCAUUUUCAUUUCUUGACUUGAGGUGUUCUCUUUUCUCCACUAGUCAGAGGCUGCUCCCCUUUUCUCCAGGGUUCUCCUCUCCAGCCUGUCAUCCACACUGGUGCUAGACCUGCUCCUUCUAUGAAAUGGAAAAAUACGUAUAUAAAAAAUUGGGAGGCCUUGAUUGAUUUAAGUUCUUCAGAGUUUGGUAUUUUAUUUAAUAAAGUUUUAUUUUCAAAGUUUAGUGUUUUGUGAUUGUUGGUAAUUUUCUUGUUGGUUUACUGUACUGGUAAGACCUUCCUUAAUCAUAUAGAGAUGGUCUGUGAAGAGCAUCUGUUGUAAAGGGCCCUUUUAUUUUCUCAGAGGUACUCUCUUUCUUGCUGCUUUUGGGGCUUACCUUGCCUGACCUUUCAGUGAACUCUUACCUGUCCUUUGAACUACUACCUACCUACCUUGUACCUACUACUUAAUAUAGGAUGGAUCUUGCUUUCUCUCAUAAAAGUUGGUUUAAAAGAAAAUUACAUGUUUGCUGUUAUUUGCAAAUGCUUAUUUACUGGGUUUGUUACAACUGAAAUGUGACUCAAAUUCUUCUAAGUUUAAAAUUUCUUAUGAAAACUUUCAAACGUUGAUAAAAUCUCUCAACACUUGAAUUUGGUAACAUACAUAAAUUUAAUGAUUAUUAGUAUUUUACUGUUUUGGGGGGUUACUGCAAUACCUUAUGAAAAAUUAAAGCUUUUUUAUUGAUGCAGUAUUUUAAACCAAUUUUGGCUAUCAGAACCCUUCAAACCUAAAUACUUGCAUGUGUGAUUCUAAUAAACAAAAAAAGGGACAUUUUCUUUCUUUUUUCUUUUCUUUUUUUUUUUUUUGGCUGCAUCCAUGGCAUAUGGAAAGUUCCUAGGCCAGCGAUUGAAUCUAAGCCACAGCAGUGACAACUCCCAGUCCUUAACCACUAGGCCACCGGGGAACUCCCAAGGGACAUUUUCUUUACAUAAUCGUGACACCAGUGUCACUUCAAAAAUAAUUCUUUAGUCAUCUGACAUUUAGUCUAUUGAAAAUUUCCCAUAGUCCUUUUGUUUAGUUGGUUCAUUCAGCAAAUGCACUGCACUUUGUUAUCAAGUAUCCAAGUCAUCUUAAUAUUCAGCAGUGCCUUUGCCACGUCUUUUUUACCGUGGUAUUUACUUGUUGAAAAGAUCAAGUCAUUGUCCAAUGGAAUGUCCCAUAUUCUUGAUGUUUCUUUUUUUUUUUUGUCUUUUGUCUUUUUUGUUGUUGUUGUUGUUGUUGCUAUUUCUUGGGCCGCUCCCUCGGCAUAUGGAGGUUCCCAGGCUAGGGGCCGGUGGCUACAGCUUUGAUUAGACUCCUAGCCUGGCAACCUCCACAUGUCUCAGGAGUGGCCCUAGAAAAGGCAAAAAGACAAAAAAUAAAUAAAUAAAUAAAAAUAAAUUAAAAAAAAUAAAAUAAGGCAGUUAUAUAAGGUGAGUAGAAAGCAAAUCUGUAACCAUCUAAUAACAGUUCACAGAUCAAGGCAUAUAAAGACAAGUAGAAAACCUUGUUUGUUUGAAAGCAAAUCUAAUCUGCAGCUUCACAAAUACACAUAAAGUCUGUUAAGUUUCAUUGAUCUCUUACUUCAGUACCAAUUGAUGGUCUCUUGUGAGAUGUAUGGUAGAUUUGUUUUGGGUAUUUAUUUCUCAGAGACUGGGCCUUGCUCAUAGACAGUAUUAAGGAGGCAAGUGGGCCUAAGCAGUAUGUAAGUUCAGAGGAUCCCUCUUGCUUCAGAUAGUGCUGACUGGUUGGGUGAUGGGCCCCUUUCUCAAGGCCAGCCAGUGUAAAUAGUGACUGGACACCAUUUUGAUUCCUCCUCUUUGAAUGCGAUAGGCUUUAGACUUUUAAGGUCACAUGGGCUUGGAGACCGUGGCUGACUUGGGCCAUGUGCUAGCAAAAGUAACUAGUUAAGAGAGAAGAGGGAGAGAACAGUAGGCAGAAGAGAUCUUGUGUUUCCAGGCAUCACUUUCUCUUGAAUGUAGUCUUUUCUGUGUCAUUGAGAUUGCUUAUCUCUUUAUGAUAAACUCAAGUGUGAUUUUAUUUUUCGUAAUAAAAUUCCUUGCUUAAAUAAGAUUAGAUUUUGAAUUUUGUAUUCCUUUUCUAAUAUUUCAUUGUUAGUAUACAGAAAUGAGACUGAUUUCUGAAUGUUAAUCUUAUAUCCUGCUCCUUUGGUAAAUUUGUUGAUGAGUUUGAGUAGUUUUUGGGUUGAGUGCUUAGGGUAAGAUUAGAUUAUGAAAUUUAUGAGAAUAUGUUCAAUUUUAGGUUGUGACCCCUGUUUCACUUUAUAGAAGUAAACUAGACUUGAUAUGUCAUAAUUUAUGUCCUAAAUUUUUAUAGACAAAACAUUCAAAUAGAUUCCAGUUUUGAUAUUGUGUUGUUUGUAUGCCUUGGUCUACUUAGUUACUUUUCUCUGGCAUUUGGAAUGUUAUCUGUAACUGGAGUUAUCAAGAUUUGGUCCCAUUUUCAAAAUUCAGGUUUAAAUGAAUGAGAAGUUUAGUUUUGUGUAUUUCAGUUUUUAAAGAAAAUGCUUGUAUUCCAUUACCAUUAAAAACAGGUAUGUUAAUUAAAGAAUUGGUAAUAUGAGAAGGCUUUAAAAUACAAGUUUGCAAUACAGGUUUCUUAUGGACCUACAUUUUGACAGCCUUUAUUUUGUAGCCAUAUACUUCCAUAUAUUAAUCAUCCAUAUAUGCUUACACAUAUGUGUAUGUGCAUAUAUAUCUAUAUAUAUAUGCGCACACACUUUUAUUUUGGUUCUUGGAUAAUCUGACGUGAAUUGGAGUGACUGCAAUACCUUUAAAGGUAUAGAGUACCUUUAUAUCACAGAGUGUGUUUCUUAUUUAGUUUGUUUUCUCUAUGAACAAAUUUUAUUUUUUUAGCUUAUACAGGAGAUGAAUCGCUUGGUCUUGUUUUCUAAGUACUGUUCCCACUGCCCAAAGGUACCUUUUUCUGAAUCUUUUCAGAUCCCCCACUGCUUUAAAAAUAAAAGAUUUUGGAGUUCCCGUCAUGGCUCAGUGGUUAAUGAAUCCAACUAGGAACCAUGAGGUUUUGGGUUUGAUUCCUGGCCUCCCUCAGCGGGCCAGGGAUCUGGCAUUGCUGUGAGCUGUGGUGUAGGAUGCAGGCUCGGCUUGGAUCCUGAGUUGCUGUGGCUGUGGUGAGGCCAGCAGUUGUAGCUCCUAUUGAACCCCUAGGCUGGGAACCUCCAUAUGCCGCAGGUGCAGCCCUAGAAAAGGCGAAAAGACAAAAAAAA
rnacentral:lncRNA from 1 species